rnacentral:pre_miRNA from 1 species
GUUUUUUGAGGGGAAUGUUGUCUGGCUCGAGGCCCCUAUAACCAGAUCUAUGAUCUAACCCAUCUCAGUUCUGUCUAUGAUAUCAUAGAUUUGAUCCAACUGAGAUGCAGAUCAUUGAAUCUACAUUUAGCGACGUCGGACCAGGCUUCAUUCCCCCCAAUUAC